UUUCUCCACAUCAUUCCAGAUGUUUUCUUCUAACUUGUGCUCAUUCACUAACUCUCUCUUCAGCUGUGCCUGUUCUGCUGUCAAAUCCAUUCACCAAGAUUCUAAUUUCGGUCAUGUUAAUUUUCAGCUCUAGUAUUUCCAUAUUGUUUAUGUAAUUUUCAGUUCUGUCAAAAUUCUCAAAAGUUUAGUGUAUGUAUGAAAAUAAUAUCUAGUGAUCCUGCAGAUCUAUUUAAACGGAAGCUUCUGCUGGUUAUCAUUCAUGUCUUUUGGUGUGGCUACUUUUUAUUGUAUGCCCUACAAGGUACUUGCAAAAUUAUUUAUAGAUUUGAGGCUUACUGCAUUAAUUUUCUAUGGCUGUAUAACAGAAUCACCACAAAUUUAGCACCUCAAAACAACAAACAUUUAUUAUCUCAUAGGCUCUGUGGGUCAUGAGUCCAAACACAGCUCCACUGGUCUUCUGUUCCAGGAUCUCACAAAGCCAAUCAAGGUGUCAUCCAGAGCUAUAAUCUCAGCUGAGGUUCCAGUAGGAAGGGAUCCACUUUCAAGAUCACAUAGUUGUAGCAUGCAGUUCCGUAAGGACUAUUGAACUAUGGGCCUACUUUUUGCUGUUAGCCAGAGGCCACUCUCAACUGCUUGCCAUGUGGCCCUCUCUGAAGUCCUGUUCACAACACAGCAGCUUGCUUCUUUAAGUCAAGAGUGAGAGAAUUAAAAAAUAAUAAUUAAAAAAUAGUGGUACCCAAGUGGCUCAGUUAGUUAAACCUUAGACUCUUGGCUUUGGCUCAGAUCAGGAUCUCAGGGUCAUGAGAUUGAGUCCCACGUUGGGCUCCAGGCUCAAUAUGUAGUGUUUGCGAUUCUCUCUGUUCCUUCCCCCUCUUGUGCACAUGCUCUGUCUCUCAAAUAAAUAAAUAAAUCUUUAAGAAAUAAAAGGAGAGAAUUCCUUAACAAGAUGAGCAUUACAAUCUGAUGUAAUGUAAUCAUGUCACCUUAUCACAUACAUCCCAUCAUCUUUGUGGUAUUCCAUUGAUCUUUGUGGUAUUCCAUUGAUUAGAAGCAAAUCAUAGGUCACCCCCUACACACACAGAAUACCAGAAUAUAGGGAUCAUGAUGGGGGCCACCUUAGAGUCUGUCCUCCACACUCAGGAUAUUAAUUUCCUCUUGAGGAAAAUUAGACCUACUUCUUCUGCCAAGCACCUGGGAGCUCUAAAUAGCCCAGAUAAUCUCAUUUCAUUCCCUUACUCAAUACCUAAAAAUAAAUGUCUUUCAAUGUCAUCUAAUUUAUUAAUUACAGUGAAACAAAGAUUUAAACAAAGAUUUACUUUUUUAGCCUAAAAAAAUAGAUGGUACCAAUUUUUCCCACUAAAUUAUAUGGAAAAUCUGUUUUUAGUGCUUUCUGUAAUGAAAAGAAAAUUCUAUCAAUACAUAAUGGAAAUUCAUGCCUAAAAAAUGAGAGCCUAGAAAUUAGCAUAGAAUUAUAAAAUUUUCAGAGCAGUUGAUGUUUUAUGUAUGAAACAUGUUUUACAAUAUCCUCAUAUGAAAU
rnacentral:lncRNA from 1 species